UUGGCUUGCGGGCCUCGCAGCUGGCCAUUGGUCGCCCGCGGCCGCCCCCUGCCAUCUCAGGGCUUGUGGUGUGAUCUCAGGGUUUGCGACUUCUCUCUCGGGCUAGCCCGCUCUGGAGCCACAGCCUUGCAGGGCGUGGUGGCACACUCACGUCGUCCCAACACUCGGUAGGCAGAGGCGGGAGGAUGGUCGCACGUUCGAAGCUGAAGUAGGCUGGGCUACACGGCGAGACUCUAGUCUCAAGAAACAAACCCAAAGAGCCUCAUCCUCCCCUGCUCAAGCCUUUCUCCACCGAGCCUCUUUUGAGGCAGUGUGAGGACACUUGGAUUUGAGCUCCUUCCUUUGAGCGAAAAUGGCUGACACCCAGCUUCCAUGGGAGAACCUGGAAAGGCAUCCUGAUGGCUGCAUCCCAUCUUCAGGGCUAGUACCUGGUCCGGUCUGAGGCGGCACUACUGCUGCUGCUGCUGCUGGACUCAGAGUCUGAGCUGCUUCGGGGAAGGUUGCAGUCAUUACGGUACACCAAGAAACUCUUCUUCACUGGCUGGUUCCCACUGCUGAAGCCAUUAGCUGAUACAAAGGACCUAAAGGGCAGGAAGUUCCCCAAGGAAGGAGAGAAGAGCAAAGUUUCCACAGCCCACAGGGAUUUGGACACAGUACCCCGACUUGAUCACAGUUCCUCUGAGACUGAAGGUGUGUCUGCAGACGCCGGAGUAGUGGGACCCCAUUCCGUGACUGUCGUUUCAGAGUCCAGUAGCUGUGUAGCCUCUGCAUGAACUGGCUCUUCCUCUGGAUGGUCAGGCGGUUGGUGAUCUUACUGAGUCUGGGAACCAGGGAACAAAGUAAAACCCUGCUAGGUCCUGACUGCCAGUAAGAAUUUCUGAAUGAGGACAAGUGGGGGCUAUGAUGCUUACCAGAAAUGUCUGGAAAACCAAGCAUAGUAAGUAGCUCACACCUGUAAUCCCAGCACUCAGGAAGUGGAGGCAAAAGGAUCCAGAACCUCAAAGUAAUCUUUGCCUCUAUAUGGAGUUCUAGCCCAGCCUACUAUAAGAGAUUCUAUCUCAAAGAGAAAAGAGGAGGAAAGAGAAGGAGCAGCUUGGAAUUCUGGGCUUGAGACAUAAUCAACAGUGCCUUGAGUGGCACAACACAGCAGAGAGGAAACCAAACUCUCAUCACUAAGCAGAACAGCAUCAGUCUGCCUCUAAGUACACUUAGCCACAGCAGCCCAGGGCACAGUUAAACUCUGACCUCUCGGACUGACCCUGUGGAGAAGAUAAUGUACCCCAUCACCUGUUGGCCUUUUUGCUAAGAUCAAGUGAAGAUAAAUUACAGGCACAGAAACGUAUAGUGAAGUCAACCAGACAACACAAGACAGCUAAAAAACAACUGACAAUCACAGCCUGACUGAGCAGCACUCCACAGGGCACAGUCAACAACAUGGGAAGGUGGCCCUUAGGAUCACAGAUGACACUGUAGCAUCUCUGUGCAUGAUCAAGCUGCACAUGCUAUGCACUUAUUUCUGUGUUGGGGACCUGAACCCAGAUCCCUAUAAAUGCUAAGCACAUCUGACAACUGAGCUGCAUCCCAGCCCCUUCACAACUUUCUGAGCCUUCUUCCCACUUUUCAUUGAUUCUUUCAUGGGAAGAUCACUUUUCCUCAGUGGAUGUUUAAUCUUAACAAAAAGCACCAUCAAAAAGAGGGCAGCUUAAAUAUGUGCUCCAUCUGCUAAAGGUUCAGAGUUUCUGGCUCCUAAUGCAAAAGUCAGGUAGAUCAUCCCCCUGGCCCAAGACAGUCCUGGCUGUCCUCGAACUCACAGAGAUCCGCCUGUCUCUGCCUCCCAAGUGCUGGGAUUAAAGCCGUGUGCUACCACCACCCGGUUUAAGAUUACCUCUUUUUUACUUUCUUUUUCACUUCCAAGCCGCUCUGAUAGGAAGGCAAGCAGGCCACUCUAAUUAGGCCCCACAGUCCCUCUGAGGGCUUCUCCCUUCCCCUUCCUGCCCACUGCUGCCCAUGUACCUGUGUGGCGGAAUACAGGGCACAGACACCACAGGUGCUGCUGCCCGCUUCUCUGCCAAGAUCUUCCGAGCUUUCUUCAUCUUAAUCCGGGACUUGGCCUUGGCCUUCUUAACCUUCUCUGAGCUCCAGCUCUUACCCUCAUCUUCUUCUUCAUCCUCCUCCUCCUCACCCUCACUGUGGGAUAGGGCAGGUAGGCGGCGAGCAGAACCUGGGGGUGUAUGGAUGUCACAGUAGGCUGUCUUGCGGACACUAAAGGAGGUGCCAUUGGCACCUGUCUCCCGCACAGGUUCCAUCUUCAUGUAAAGGCCAGCCUGCUGGGCACAUGUCACAUGGAAGGCUGUGUAGCAGUUGGCCUUGUGGCACUGGAUGCAGGCUCCAGAGCCCCGCUGUUUGCAAAUGUAGCAGGUGAGCUUCCAGCGGGCUGGUGGGAUGUGUUCAAUGCUGUCAAUAGGUUCUAGGAAGACUGUGUUGGCAAAGCAGACCUCAGGUAUCCACAAGGCACACACCACGUGGGCCCAGCGGCCAUCAUCUGUCUGCUUAAAGGCACCACCCUUAUUGGGGCACAGAGCACAGUCAACUGCACGAGAAGGUGACUGCAGGCAACGGCGGCACAGCCACUGGCCCUCAGGGAUAUAGGGGACACCGUAGCACUCCUGGUGCACAGCCAAGUUGCACAUGUCACAGAAGAGGAUGACAUUGCUGUUCUGGCACUCGCCAUCAUUGCAGAUACAGCACACGGCAUCUUCAUCCACUAGUGCAUUGGGGUCACCUUUAUUGUGACUCUCAAAGUAGGACUCCUUCUCCAACCGGUCCAUUAGGUACUCAAAGAUCUCCUGUGGGAUAGGACUCACACCCUCGGUCUUCCGUCGCUCAUUCAUAAUAUCCAGCCAGAUGUAGUCCUCCUCAUCCAUGUCAUAUUCUACUUCCUCAUCCAGCUCCUCUGCAGACUUCUCGAUGUACCUGAAGUUCACACAGGUAGUUUGAUGAUCCAUUGUAUGCACGUCUCAUUCUAGCCUUACCUUAACCCCACAUUCAUAGUUACUAGGAUGUUUCUGUCUUGCAGAAAGGAACCCUAAAUGUGGGGGAAGUUAACUUCCUUAGCUUACUUGUAAGAAAGUGCCCUAAAGCUUGGUCAUAAACACAGGCCUACCUCUCUAGUACUCAUGUUGUGGCUGUCAUAUGAUGCUGUCUUCCCUUAAGUAUAGAGGCUCAGCUAGACCCCUUAAAAGGCGAAAUGUUGGAUAAAUGAAGGCCCAUCAUGGGAAUAUGGGGGAUUGUACAGUCAGAGGAAGGCAGUUCUUUGUACAAAACUGGCAAAUGAAUACAAGCCUGCUUUAGCAAAGCUGACAAGUACUAAAGACACCAUGGACCUUCUUUCAGAAGGUGCUAGGAGUCUUUCAAAAGCUACAUACUGUUUGUUCUCUGGAUAGCCUUGGAAGAUAAUAAUAGCUAUGACUGACUGGGCAUUUACUAUGGGCCAGGCACCAGGCCAAGUUACAUCUAUUCUCUAUUACAACUAGCAGAUCAGUGUUCUUAUCAUCUUUAUUUGUAGAUGAAGAAAGUGAGGCUUUGAGAAAAUUGUUAAUAACCUAUGACGGAUAGGUCCUAUCACCAGGGAAUGACAGAGCUGGCAUCUAAUCUUUGGCCCCAGCCUUUUCACAUCCACUUUGGAUCUCUCCAAGACAGCAGGCCUAGAGCAGAGGCUGCUCCAGGUUGCUGCGACACAACAGGCACCCACCUUGCCCUGCCUUAGGCCACCUAGACUCCAGCAUUGCCAACUACAGAGUGUAAGACAAGAACAGGACUUUGGCUCUUAACAAACCUGGUUUUAAACUUUGUCUUUGCCAUUCUGUCAUGUUCAGAACAUCACUGCUCUGCCCUGUAUCAAAGCUUUACUGAUAGAAGAAUGAGGGCUAUAUUCAGUAAAUGAUAACUUUAAAUGACAUUGCAAAAGGGAAUGGCUAAAGAGCUGGGGAUAUACUCAGUUGGUACAAUUUUUGCCUAGCAUGCACAAAGCCCUGGUUCAAUCCCUGGCACCCCAUAAAACCAGGUGUGAUGGCAUAACUGUAAAUCUAGCACUCAAGAGACAGAGGCAGAAAAAUCAAAAGUUCAAGGCUACUACACAGUGAGUUGGAAGCUAGCCUAGGACACACGAGGCCCCGUAUUUAAGUGUGUGUGUGUGUGUGGGGGGGGGUAGAGUAGCUAAAUCAUGUGGUACACAGCAUGUUACAGCAGAAUGUUAAUUCCUCUCUCCACAUGGAAAAUGAAUACAAGCAGGUCAUAUGCACAGAAGCUCUGGGGCUAUUUGCCUGGUCUCUGUAUGACAGUAUAUGACCUUAAGCCUUAAGCUCUCUGAGUCUUGGUUUCCUUAUCUAUAAAGUGGCAAUGCUAAUAUGACCUGCCUGACACUGCUGUUGUGAGCAUGAAAUGAGUUAAUAAAGGGAAAUGCUUAGCACAGUGCUUCGUAUGAAGCAACUAUUCAAUAAAUGUCAACUUUAUUAUUAGCUUUUGUAUAGCCCUAACCCACUUUGCCUUGAAUUAUAGCUGUUUGUGCCUAACUCCUUCUCUAGACAGAGGCAGGGAUCAUGUCUGAUUCACUAUACAGAAAUAGAUUCUCAGUGUUGUUCAAAUGAAAGGCAUUUGGGGGGGGGGUAGCAGGGAAGAGAGAGAUUAAAAUGUGUGUGUGGGCAGCUUCUUCCUUAGCCCUUUCCCUCUUAACCCAAAGUGAGUUCAGCUUGUGCUCCUGGAAUAAGCAUAUGAUCAGAGCUGGUGUGCAGUAGCUGGAUGGUUCUAGGGCUUGCACUAGCUCUCUUAAACAUCAGGUCUUGCCUGUUCCUCUGCCUUGACACAUGACAGUAUGUGAUGGUACGUACAUAACAUACUCCCACAGGCUCCCAGAUUACAGACUGUGGCACAGAUAGGUGGGCUGUGUGUCAUGUACAAUUCUUGGCACAACAGCUGACGCACCACCCUCUCCCUCCCCCUCAUGAAGUGCACUGGAAUUUGAGCAAAGGAAAAUGCUGAGUGACGACCUCAGACCUUCAAGUUUUUACAAAAGUAAGUCAUUUCCAAAACAUGGGGAAUUUUGCUAACUAUGAUAAUUACAAUAACAUUAUCCCCAACGGACUGCAACACACCAGCUGAAAACUGCUCCUCUAGAGAAAAGAGCUGAUCCCAGGAGAAAAGUGACUGUGUGGGGGGAGGAAGAGAAGCAGCUGAGUAAGUUGGGCUGGACUGCCUGUGAGAACAGAUUAUGCAUGCCAAGAGCCAUUAGAGGAGAGGAAGGCCCAAAGAGGGGCCUGUUGGGGGGUGAAGAAGCAUGGUAGUAAAUUCCAAGAGAAAAAGAGUAGAAAACAGAAAGGGGGAACAGAGCUGAACAGAUGAAAGGAAAGAAAAUACUUAAUAAAACUUGGACACUGUAUUCCCAGGCAGUUACUGUAAUAUCAAGUGAAUUGCAUCUUUAGGCAAAAGCCACUUUUUACAGGAGAGUCUUUACAAUAAAUACAAAUGAACAAACUGUUUCCUGGCUUCAGUGGCCAGGACUCCACGAGGGUUUUACACUUGGUUUUGAUAACAUCCUAUGGCUGAGAUUUCUACCUAAUAGUUCACCACCCCAUUGCCCACACACUGUACAUCUUUUUUUCUCAUGUUAAUGGAAUUAGCUUUAUAAUGUCUGUGACUUCAGGGCCAGCAAGACAGUUAAAUGGGUAAAGGUGCCUGCUCCCAAAUCCAAUGGCCUAAAUCCUAUCCUGGGACCUGGGACCUGCAUGGUAGGAGAACUGACUCCCACAAGUAGUCCUCUAGCUUCCACGGGUGCUGUGAUACAAGUGUAUGUGCAGACACACAAAUAAGUAAAUAUAAAAAGAUGUUUUUAUAAAAUUA